rnacentral:rRNA from 1 species
GGGAAAUCUUACCGGGUCCGGACACACUGAGGAUUGACAGGUGUUUCGUUUUGAUAUAGCAUUUAUAUAUAAUGUAUCAAAAACCAAAUUUUCAUAAUUUGCUUUUGUUUAAAAUAUAUUAUAUAUGUGUUAUUAUACAAAACAUUUCAAAUAUGCUAGUCCUUUCAUGAUUGUGUGAUAGGUGGUGCAUGGCCGUUCUUAGUUCGUGGAGUGAUCUGUCUGCUUAAUUGCGUUUCACUUAUGGCCACGAGUGUUUUAUACUAUUACUGUGGAUCUCAUCUGUUUUUUUACAAAACGAUGACUGGUCCCGUAUGGUAUGCACUUGUGAAAGCCUCGAAGGCAACGAAC